rnacentral:lncRNA from 1 species
AGACACUAUUCCAGAUGCUGGGUGAACACACUCAACAAAAGAGCUCUCAGAGGACUGGGAUGGGGCUCAACCAAUUCAGAACUAUCACCUGCUCACUCACCCUCCAGAAAUCAUCGAUGCAGGUACUGACACUAAUGGAUCUUAGCUGCACUUGGCUGAGAAAUAAAUCGGUUCUAUAGAUCGGCAAUAAACACAGCUACAGCAGGGAACGCAGCUUCAGCAGUCCACCUAUGCCUGCGAGAAGAAAGGGAUGGGCUAGACGGGGAAUGGGAAUUUGACUGCAGAUUCAUGUGUGUAUGAUGUGUGAUUUGGAUGGAUGGCUAAACUGAGUUUUUUCUCUUUCCACACGCCAACGCCAGAUACCUGGUUGCAGGCCUCUGGCUGCAGGAACCAUAUGUGCUGCUGGAUGGGGUAGUGCAGCACAGGGACGUGGGAAGACCCACUGUCCCCAGAGGCCUUCCCGACCAGAGUGCAGAGCGCCUGUGUCUCCACAUGACUCAGCAAUGACUGUGGCCUGAGAAUGCCUGGCUGCACAGAAACAUCAAUCUGGGAUUUAAAAAUAAACAGGCUGGGUGCAGUGGCUCAUGCCUGUAAUCCCAGCACUUUGGGAGGCCAAGGCAGGUGGAUCACCUGAGGUCGGGAGUUCCAGACCAGCCUGACCAACAUGGAGAAACUCCAUCUCUACUAAAAAUACAAAAAUUAGCCGGGCAUAGUGGUGCAUGCCUGUAAUCCCAGAUACUCGGGAGGCUGAGGGCAGGAGAAACGCUUGAACGUGGGAGGCAAAGGUUGAGGUGAGCUGAGAUUGCACCAUUGCAUUCCAGCCUGGGCAACAAGAAUGAAACUCCGUCUCAAAAAUAACGGUAAUAAUAAUAAUAAUAAACAAAUAAACCAUUCAUACUGUAGUCCAGAUAUUCUUUCCAAUCAGCCCUGCUACAAGAUCUUGUGUUGGAAGCAAUUUUCAAGCUUUUCCUCAUGGAAGGAAAAAAGGACUUACUUAUAUUUUUAGCCUCUAAACAGUCACUUUGCACUUGAAACCUGUAAACUUAUUUGCUAUACUUUAUUUUUGAAUAUUUUGAUGGCUGUCUCUGCCAUAGCCACUCAACUGUGGUCUUCACACGUCUGUCAUAAAUGAACCCAUAUAUACAUUAGGUCUGAUACAAAACCAAAAUAUGUUAUUAAGGGUUUGGGCAGAUAUAUAAAAAGUUGAACACAUUUUAGUUUACUGCUGUUCUUAAAGUGAUUACCAACUGCGGACCAUUCUUGUACUUAUGAAAUAAAAUAUAAGCAUGCCUGCUAACAAUUCCAAUUUUAGUACCUUAGCUAGAAAUGGGUUUUGAAUCAGUUCUAAUGUUUAUAUUCAUGUUACAAUUAUGACCAAAUUAUACUAUUACUUUUAAAGAUUUUGGAACUGUUGUUUAAAUUUCUGGUUUGCUAUUUAGGUAUGUUAAAAAUGCAAAUUGUUUACAUAGUUCAAAUCCCUAAUCUAAGGCCACAGGAAAUAUAAUACCUCAAAAACAAAAAACUAAACCAACAAAACUUAUGAGAUCCAUCCAUUAAUCCUUCUGCUUGUUUAACAAAUACUAAGAAUCAGGCAUUGUUAGACAUUUAAGGAGAUAAGCCAU